rnacentral:rRNA from 1 species
AUGCACCGAAGCUGCGGCAGCGACGCUGAUGCGUUGUUGGGUAGGGGAGCGUUCUGUAAGCCUGCGAAGGUGUGCUGUGAGGCAUGCUGGAGGUAUCAGAAGUGCGAAUGCUGACAUAAGUAACGAUAAAGCGGGUGAAAAGCCCGCUCGCCGGAAGACCAAGGGUUCCUGUCCAACGUUAAUCGGGGCAGGGUGAGUCGACCCCUAAGGCGAGGCCGAAAGGCGUAGUCGAUGGGAAACAGGUUAAUAUUCCUGUACUUGGUGUUACUGCGAAGGGGGGACGGAGAAGGCUAUGUUGGCCGGGCGACGGUUGUCCCGGUUUAAGCGUGUAGGCUGGUUUUCCAGGCAAAUCCGGAAAAUCAAGGCUGAGGCGUGAUGACGAGGCACUACGGUGCUGAAGCAACAAAUGCCCUGCUUCCAGGAAAAGCCUCUAAGCAUCAGGUAACAUCAAAUCGUACCCCAAACCGACACAGGUGGUCAGGUAGAGAAUACCAAGGCGCUUGAGAGAACUCGGGUGAAGGAACUAGGCAAAAUGGUGCCGUAACUUCGGGAGAAGGCACGCUGAUAUGUAGGUGAAGUCCCUCGCGGAUGGAGCUGAAAUCAGUCGAAGAUACCAGCUGGCUGCAACUGUUUAUUAAAAACACAGCACUGUGCAAACACGAAAGUGGACGUAUACGGUGUGACGCCUGCCCGGUGCCGGAAGGUUAAUUGAUGGGGUCAGCGCAAGCGAAGCUCUUGAUCGAAGCCCCGGUAAACGGCGGCCGUAACUAUAACGGUCCUAAGGUAGCGAAAUUCCUUGUCGGGUAAGUUCCGACCUGCACGAAUGGCGUAAUGAUGGCCAGGCUGUCUCCACCCGAGACUCAGUGAAAUUGAACUCGCUGUGAAGAUGCAGUGUACCCGCGGCAAGACGGAAAGACCCCGUGAACCUUUACUAUAGCUUGACACUGAACAUUGAGCCUUGAUGUGUAGGAUAGGUGGGAGGCUUUGAAGUGUGGACGCCAGUCUGCAUGGAGCCGACCUUGAAAUACCACCCUUUAAUGUUUGAUGUUCUAACGUUGACCCGUAAUCCGGGUUGCGGACAGUGUCUGGUGGGUAGUUUGACUGGGGCGGUCUCCUCCUAAAGAGUAACGGAGGAGCACGAAGGUUGGCUAAUCCUGGUCGGAC